AGGAAAUUGUACAUCUUCUUGCACAGUGCCAGCCAUGCACCAGAGAAAGACAGAAAAAAGGACGAGGAGCUGCUUUCAAGGAGCAACUGAGAGAAUACUAAGAACUACUCAAGCAGAGAGAGAAAAUAGAGGAGAUGGAAGAGCACAGAAAUGAUGAAGAAAACAGAAUUCAAAAUGGGACAGAAUAUACAUGGAAUGUGAAUGGAAACUGAAUGUGGCUAUUUAAACAUGAUCUGCCUAACGAAACAAGAGCCAAACAGCCCUCUCUGUUUUCCCACUGCCAGUUAGCUCCACCUUGGACCCUGGCCAACCCAGGAAUUGCCGGAAUACCCUGAGCACUGAUCCUCUCCUGAGAUUUUCCAGCCCAUCACUGUCAAGGAGGACAGCCAGCCACAGAGGAAGCAUUUGAGUUCUGGCAGCACUUUUCAGACAUCCAGCUGCAAUAUGCAUCAAACUGCUAUUGAUGCAGUCUGAUGCAGAAGGUUGGAAGAAGCAGUUGUUGCUGUAUGGGUCUCAAAGGAUAAGAGCAUGCCUACAAGGCAGCUGACUGCAGUCACAUUUUGACACCAUAGCACAUAAUCAGAUGUACUGAGUAACUGGUCCUGGAAAAAUCUGGAGUCUUUCCUCUCAGCGCGAAAUGUGAGAACUUGGCCAUGCACUGAUUUUGCUUGCAGUUGUCUUCAUCAGAUGUAUGAAUCGGAUGGAGACUAGCUAGGCUAAAAUCCCUUGCAGGCAGUCAUAGUAGACCUACUGCAGCAAGUAAAACAUGGUAAGGACCCAUUGCCAUUAGUCCAUAAGUUCUGUUCAACCAACAUCUGAAUGGCUCUCUUCAUCCAAGGCUGCUGACCUAAGUUAAUCACAUCUUUUAAUAUUUCCUAAUACUU